rnacentral:lncRNA from 13 species
GGUGGUGAUUAUGUUAAAAAGAUUGAGAAACACUGGUCUAAGACAUUCCUGAAUAUGGAAUUGGAUGAGACGUAUGGUACCACGGAAUUCUACAGUAUUGCUACCAUGCAGAUACAAUAGGCAUGAAUCAGCUCAAAAGAAGAGCCUUUUCUAUUCAUUUGUUGAGCUCACAAAAUCCCUGCUUAAAAUAUGGCAUUGGUGAAAGCUAUGAAGAAAACAGCUAUUGUUCAGACUGGAAAUGUCUGUGGCCAAGAAUAGCAAUGACUUCUCUGGUGCCAUUUCUAUCAUCGGUGCUCUUAUUCCCAGCAAUUCAACAUCAGCAUUUGGGGAUUUUAUUGAACAAAGGAAAACUGAAUUAAUGAGCCAACAAAAAUGAUCAACAUCAAAGACUGGCUGUUGUUUGAAAAAGUAAGCAAAAGAAUGGAUGUAUCCAAUGAUGUUAGUUCAUUGCAUGACUAUUCUAAAGGAUGUCACCUCUCAAUCUCUUGAAUAAACAAAUAGGUUAGAUUUGGUUCUACA